rnacentral:rRNA from 1 species
ACGAACGCUGGCGGCGUGCCUAAUACAUGCAAGUAGAACGCUGAAGGAGGAGCUUGCUCUUCUGGAUGAGUUGCGAACGGGUGAGUAACGCGUAGGUAACCUGCCUGGUAGCGGGGGAUAACUAUUGGAAACGAUAGCUAAUACCGCAUAACAGUAGAUGUUGCAUGACAUUUACUUAAAAGGUGCAAUUGCAUCACUACCAGAUGGACCUGCGUUGUAUUAGCUAGUUGGUGGGGUAACGGCUCACCAAGGCGACGAUACAUAGCCGACCUGAGAGGGUGAUCGGCCACACUGGGACUGAGACACGGCCCAGACUCCUACGGGAGGCAGCAGUAGGGAAUCUUCGGCAAUGGACGGAAGUCUGACCGAGCAACGCCGCGGGAGUGAAGAAGGGUUUCGGAUCGUAAAGCUCUGUUGUAAGAGAAGAACGAGUGUGAGAGUGGAAAGUUCACACUGUGACGGUAGCUUACCAGAAAGGGACGGCUAACUACGUG